CCUUAUCCCUUUUUUUACACCCCAUUUAUUACAUGAGAAAAAAAUUUCUCAUAAAAUCACUCCAUGUAUAAUUUAAGCCAUGCCUCACGCCUUUAGUGGAUAAGGGAUGAGUUGGUGUCCAUUUGAAUUCAAAAUUUGAUUUAAAUUCAAAUGUGCAAUUACUCAUCUUUAUCCUUUCUUUUGGAUAAGACGUUUGACGUUGUUAUAAAAGGAG
rnacentral:lncRNA from 1 species